GAGUAGUAUCAUCUAUCAUAGAUCUUAAAAUCAAUAAUACAAGAAAGCAUGGAUAAUGCCUUAAUCAAGUAAAAUAAAAUGGAUCAAGAUAAUGUACAACAAUAGUACACCAACAUCUUGCACAAGAGGAAUUGGUUCCAUACACACACGCACAUGAGACUAAAUUAAUUUACUAAAUCUGAGAACUUUAACCAUAAAAAAAUAUUAGGGAUAGGAACCUGCACAUAUGUUCGAUCUGUUCCAUGGCCACGCACUGGAGCUCUGACCUGCACCAUCCAGCAUCACAGCGGCACCCAACGCCGGCGACUUCGAUCUGGAGCAGCGGAAUCACAUCCCAAUGAGAGCCUCACCUGCAAGCCAAAAUCAGAGGAGGAUUUGAGGGUUAAGGAUGAAUCCAUGGGGGACAUAUGGGGAUUUACAUCACAGAAGAAGAGAGAGAGGGGGGAGAGAGAGAGAGAGAUUUGAGGAUCCGGCAGCGGCGGAGCAGCAUCUUUCCCAUCGCUGGCUUGCUGCUCGAUCUGGGCAAGGAGUAGAAGAAACAGAGGAGGGCAUGCGUGUACUGCUUGUGUUCUGGCUGGACUAGUACUAGUG
rnacentral:rRNA from 1 species